rnacentral:rRNA from 1 species
AUUGAACGCUGGCGGCAGGCCUAACACAUGCAAGUCGAACGGUAACAGGAAACAGCUUGCUGUUUCGCUGACGAGUGGCGGACGGGUGAGUCAUGUCUGGGAAACUGCCUGAUGGAGGGGGAUAACUACUGGAAACGGUAGCUAAUACCGCAUAACGUCGCAAGCACAAAGAGGGGGACCUUCGGGCGUCUUGCCAUCGGAUGUUCCCAGAUGGGAUUAGCUAGUAGGUGGGGUAACGGCUCACCUAGGCGACGAUCCCUAGCUGGUCUGAGAGGAUGACCGGCCACACGGGAACUGGGACACGGUCCAGACGCCUACGGGAGGCAGCAGUGGGGAAUAUUGCACAAUGGGCGCAAGCCUGAUGCAGCCAUGCCGCGUGUAUGAAGAAGGCCUUCGGGUUGUAAAGUACUUUCAUCGGGGAGGAAGGGAGUAAAGUUAAUACCUUUACUCAUUGACGUUACCCGCAGAAGAAGCACCGGCUAACUCCGUG